UAAAUUACCUCUGAAAAGAAAUAUGCUUGUUGAAAUCGCUGGCAACAGCCAGAGUUGUCUUUUAUCACACCCAGAAAGCUUGGAAUUAGGGAUAUCAAAUUUAGAUGGUUUGCAGACCUUUGGUGGGGAAAGUGAAACAUCAAGUGAGAAAAGAAAAGUUCAAGAACAGCAUUCUGAGGCAAACACAUGCACUAACACAGGUGAAGAAGAGGGAUCAGAACCUAUUACUGAUGUUAUUGAAUUGGACCAUGAUCAUUGUGAUUCAAAUGUCUUGGCAGUAAAUAUUGCUGAUCAGGAUGAAACAGUUGGUCAGCCUGAUGCUUCCAACAAGGAGGUCACCAAUCUAUCCUUAGAAGGGAAAGCAUUUAUGGAAUUGGCUGAUUCCAACUGUUUAACAUUGCCCCCUGAAAAUUUAGAAGCAAGGGUAACUAAUGCUGGGGGUGUUGAGAAGUCUUCUUUGGAUGGCAUCUCUUUGAUUAAGGCAAGCAAGGCUCCCAAUUGCACGAUUAAAAGCAGCACUGAACUAUCAGGGCAAUGCAAUUUUGUUGUGUCAAGUCCUUGUCACCAUGAUGGACAUAGAAAGUCAAAAUUGAGCAAAUCUUCUAAUAAGCAGGUUUUAGCGACGAAUGAUGAGGAUAAUGGUAAACUUGCUUCCUUUUGUCAAAAAAUAUCGAAAAAGAGAAGGCUC
rnacentral:misc_RNA from 1 species